AGAGUUUGAUCCUGGCUCAGAACGAACGCUGGCGGCGUGCUUAACACAUGCAAGUCGAGUGCGCGCCUGUAGCAAUACAGGUGGCGCACGGCGCACGGGUGCGUAACACGUGGGUAAUCUGCCCUCUGAUGGGGAAUAACUCGCCGAAAGGCGAGCUAAUUCCGCAUAAUAUUCCGAAAAGUUCGCUUUUUGGACUGAAAGGCGUAAGUCGUCGGAGGAGGAGCCCGCGCACGAUUAGCUAGUUGGUAGGGUAAUGGCCUACCAAGGCUUUGAUCGUUAGCUGGUCUGAGAGGAUGGCCAGCCACACUGGAACUGAGACACGGUCCAGACUCCUACGGGAGGCAGCAGUGGGGAAUCUUGCACAAUGGGCGAAAGCCUGAUGCAGCGACGCCGCGUGGGGGAUGAAGCUUCUCGGAGUGUAAACCCCUUUCGAUCCGGACGAAUGCCUCGCAAGAGGAGUGACGGUACGGAUAUAAGAAGCCCCGGCUAACUACGUGCCAGCAGCCGCGGUAAUACGUAGGGGGCCAGCGUUGUUCGGAAUUACUGGGUGUAAAGGGUUCGUAGGCGGUGUGGCAAGUUGGGAGUGAAAUCUCUGGGCUCAACCCAGAGACGGCUUCCAAAACUGCCGUGCUUGAGUGUGGGAGAGGCUCGUGGAAUUGCAGGUGUAGCGGUGAAAUGCGUAGAUAUCUGCAGGAACACCCGUGGCGAAAGCGGCGAGCUGGACCACUACUGACGCUGAAGAACGAAAGCUAGGGGAGCAAACAGGAUUAGAUACCCUAGUAGUCC
rnacentral:rRNA from 1 species